rnacentral:rRNA from 1 species
CGGCGAGUGAAGCGGCAACAGCUCAAAUUUGAAAUCUGGCCUCGGCCCGAGUUGUAAUUUGCAGAGGAUGCUUCUGGCGCGGUGCCUUCCGAGUUCCCUGGAACGGGACGCCACAGAGGGUGAGAGCCCCGUAUGGUCGGACACCAAGCCUGUGUGAAGCUCCUUCGACGAGUCGAGUAGUUUGGGAAUGCUGCUCUAAAUGGGAGGUAAAUCUCUUCUAAAGCUAAAUACCGGCCAGAGACCGAUAGCGCACAAGUAGAGUGAUCGAAAGAUGAAAAGCACCUUGAAAAGGGGGUUAAAUAGUACGUGAAAUUGUUGAAAGGGAAGCACUUGUGACCAGACUUGGGCCGGGCGGCUCAUCAGGGGUUCUCCCCUGUGCACUCCGCCCGGCACAGGCCAGCAUCGGUUCUCGUGGGGGGAUAAGACCGUCAGGAACGUAGCACCCUCCGGGGUGUGUUAUAGCCUGGCGGACGAUACCCCCGUGGGCGACCGAGGUUCGCUCCGCAAGGAUGCUGGCGAAUAAUGGUCACC